rnacentral:misc_RNA from 1 species
CAUUCUUCGUGUACUGCACGAAACAAGCGAUAAACCAGUGUCGAUUUCAAGAACAAAACGAGCAAUAAAUACGAGAGACGACUACGGGAACGGGUUUCUUAAAUUCGUUUUGAACGUUACAGACCUCUUGAAAUGAUCAGAGCAGAUCGAUCUAGGAUAGACGAACGUUAUCUCAGGCGUGGAUCAUCCAAGUGAUCGAGACUGCGUGCAGAUGCGUAUCUCUCAGCGACCGUCAGAGCGAGGGAAGAGGAUGCGCCAUCAAGUGACGUCAGCGGAAUGCAGAAACUGGCCAAGCAAAUUAGGUUUUCGAAUUUCGAGUUCUACCGUAAUAACAAGAGAAGGGAGAAACCAUUUGAAAUCGUGCAAUUCGGGUCAUGGAUGAUUCAGUGGACGAGUCUCUUUAUCAAGAAACAAUGGGCUAUUGGCUGCAAUUACGAGACGACGCGAUGCCACGAUUAUCCACAUGGAAAUAUUUUCACCGAACGAGAUUUAAACCGCGAUAAUAACGUUUGAUGCUGCGUUAUUCCAUUACGCAGAUUGAUGUGCGUGCCUCGUUGCUUUUUCAGCCACUCAUUUUAUUUUGGCUACUGUUUUUCGCUCUCGUAAAUCACGUUUACGGAGAUCCUUCGGACUUUUGAUAGUUAACGUUUAAACAUCAUUUUCACGAAAAUGCGAGUCAAGUUGUUGUUUUUAUCAUUCUGUCGAUACAGAUAAUCUACUUACUGUUGUUUGAAUACAAAUUUUUACGCGUGUAUUUUUCAUAUUUAUAAAUCAUAUAGAGGAAAUGUUUAGAUAGUAAAGAUUUAAGCAUCAUUUUCACGAAUAGGCGAGUUAAGUUGAUAUUAUCAGAGCUUAUUGUCUUUAGUUGUGUAUUGACAAGUGUUUUUAAUUUCUAUGAAUCACAUGGAAAAGGAAAGUGAAUCAGACUGCUCUUGUCGCUCCUUAUAAGACAGACACUCGAGUUCCUCUUAAUCACAAAACAAAUUUGCAAAUUUAAAGAACGGAAUGAUUUCCCUAUUUGCAGAAUUAUCAUUCUCUAUCGUGUUCGCUAAAUUCUUUAAAACGUUGGAGCAAGUUGAAAGGGACGAGAUACUGGAAUGUGGGUGAAACGAUAGUGUUACUUCCCUAUCGAAAAGAGAAAACAAUAAUUACGUCACAUUGUAUUAUCGUUUUACGUUGUAAUAGCGUGAAUGAAUUUGACGCCACCCGGUUGCUCGUGAUCAGCUUCUUCCACGAAAUCAAACGUGUACAGUAACCUCUCGUUCCAUUCGAGAUUACGGACAAAUUUGCACUCUACAUU